rnacentral:ncRNA from 12 species
GCUUCUUGAGGUGGUCAAUUGCGGCAACCACACACCUAUUUAUAGGGAUAAGAGAUCCAAGGACAGCCGGACUUGGCAAGAGGC